UGAUUAUCACGAAGAUUUAUUUUUCGUUUAACGUUUGAAGACAUAAUUUUUUUCAAUGAUUAGAUCGUUAUUGGACAAUUUCGUUGGAAAAUAUUCUUUCGUUCAGAAUACGUUCCAAAAAGUCGAUAACACAUUUUUACGAGAGUCGUGAGUGUUUCGUCUAUUAAACGCAUAACCCUUUCACUAACAGUGCAUCUCUCUCUUUUUUUUUGUUUCCCUCUCUUACAUACUACGCCAUCUCUUGGCUGCGCUUUGGAGUCACGUACGCGCCAAAACUACCUUCGGUCUUCUUCGUCUUCGAAGAUGGCUUCGUGUUUCAGAUUCUCACUGGGAAUUUUGUAAUCCGACAAAAGUUCUCUCAUUCUGACCAUUGGAGUCUUUUCUCAUUCUCUGUGAAACUAUGACGCACAAUGCGAAUAUAUAUAUAUACAUAUAUAUAUAUGUAUAUAUAUAUAUAUAGUUAACAGUAAAUAUGUCCAAGCAUCACUUACUAUAAAAGUUGAUGAGAUUUUAUCAACAAUAUGGGACUUAUUAUUAAUAAGACAUAACGCUAUUCUUACUUCGUAUGAAGAUCCUACGUCGAUCCGCCAUGCCGAUGAGUCUUCUCUAGACACAAUUUAACGUUUCCUCACUCGCGAUGAGACACAUCGACAGACCCCCCUUCCGACGCGAAGGACCAGGGGCCUUAUCGAUGAAAAAUUCUUCGGAGCCCUCGCGCCUGCGCCAUUCGUGUUACGUAAUCUAACCAAGAAGACUAGAAGGAGAUCAAAGUUACUAUAGUAAUACAUGUGUCUGCUGAAAAAUUGAGAGAUAUAUGUAUAUAUGUAUAUAUAUAUAAACACACAAUACAAACGCGUAGAUAUAUAUAUAUGCGUGUGUAUUUCGGAUUCUCUUUCUCGCAUAAAUUUGUCUCUUUUGUCUGCGUACAAAGUAUUACGCGCAAAUGUCUAACUUAUAUGCCAAUAUAAUUUUAAACUUUAUGGAAUGUUAAAAAAAAAAAAGAAAAAAAGAAA